GAGAGAGGCCUAAACGAGGCACAGAAAACUGCUAACCUUCUUACCCUUGGUUAAAGUCCAAGGCUCCCUCG
rnacentral:tRNA from 1 species